rnacentral:pre_miRNA from 1 species
CAUGUACUCCCUCCGUUCGGAAUUACUUGUCUCGGAAAUGGAUGUAUCUAGAACUAAAAUACGUCUAGAUACAUCCAUUUCUCCGACAAGUAAUUCCGAACGGAGGGAGUAGAUA